rnacentral:rRNA from 1 species
ACGGGAGGCAGCAGUGGGGAAUAUUGCACAAUGGGGGAAACCCUGAUGCAGCGACGCCGCGUGAGCGAUUGAAGUAUUUCGGUAUGUAAAGCUCUAUCAGCAGGGAAGAAAAUGACGGUACCUGACUAAGAAGCCCCGGCUAACUACGUGCCAGCAGCCGCGGUAAUACGUAGGGGGCGAGCGUUAUCCGGAAUUAUUGGGCGUAAAGAGUACGUAGGUGGCUGCGUAAGCGAGAGGUGAAAGCCCGGGGCUUAACUCCGGCGAGCCUUUCGAACUGCGUGGCUUGAGUGCAGGAGGGGAAAGUGGAAUUCCUAGUGUAGCGGUGAAAUGCGUAGAUAUUAGGAGGAACACCAGUGGCGAAGGCGACUUUCUGGACUGUAACUGACACUGAGGUACGAAAGCGUGGGGAGCAAACAGGAUUAGAUACCCUGGUA